GUGUGUGUGUGUACCUGUCUAUGUAACAUUGACUUUUUUUUUUUUCUUGUCUCGUGGCCCUUGUGGGCUCAUGUGUUCUUUAGUGAGAUAAGCAAUCAUCCAGUGUUUGGAGACCAGUUUCACCUGAUGACUCCCAAGCAUCCGUUGUUCUACCUCAUCUUCUUCACUGUCUGCCACUCUAUACCGGACUCACAACACAGAAUCUCCAGCAGCUAAAUGUGCUCAGUCGGUCAAUCUGUUACCCAAUCUUUUUUUGGGGGGGGGAGGUUGAGGUUGAGGAAAGCCCUAGGUUACCCUACCAAGCCCAGGAAGACCUGUAGUGUCACCCUACACAUCACGUAGCCCUAGUCCAGAGUGCAGAAAAUCCCAGGGUUGGUUGGUUGGUUGGUUGAAAUAGGAGCCAGUAUGGGACCAGUAGUGGGUGAUUAAGCAUGGCCUUCAAUAGGCCUACUUGGGCUUCUUAGAGAUGGUCAUUUGAAUUUUGUCCAAGACCAAGGAGUUUUACUUCACAUUUGGCCCGAGAUCCAGUUUUAUAUGCGUUACUCUUUUAUUUGAAUAUAUAUAUAUAUAAUAUAUAUAUGUUUUGGAAAUUGCUAGUUGCUUUCCCAUAUGGCUCAUGUCAUUUUGUCUGUGAAAUGUCCUACACAGAGGGGUUGAAUGGAUAUAUAUAUUAAUAUCGCUGGUAAUGUUUCUCUGUGUGGAAUGGGUGUCUUAUGGAAUGUGGAUUGGUUCAGGGGUGGACUCCUGUCCACAGCCUCUCUGUGCUCAGAGUAAUGUCGAGUCUCGAGUGCUUACUGACCUGCAGUUUCUCUGUAAUGUCUUAUUUUUGCCAAACGUGCCAAAGCACAAGGCCCUCCUAGAGAAGACUCGCCCCGUGCUUGUGUCUUAAAGCUGUAGGUCGAAUUCAAGCUUGUCUUAAGUUUCGUUUUGAGAUUGAGGUCUUAUUUCAGAGAGGUGAAUGGGGUUUCUUAAGACUCGUAAGGAGCUGGCCAAGAGUAGCUGCUUCUGUCUAGGCAUCAUUUCAAACAACACUGUCUUGUCAUUUCAUGACGUCAUGGGUAAUUAACACAAACACACACUGUGUGUCUGUGUGUGUGUGUGUGUGUGUGCGUGUCUGUGUGUCCAUGUUUUCAGAAUGAACACGAGCCUUUAUGUGACUGAAAUAUAGUGUAAAUGCUGUAACCUUGUAUUUUAUUAUUUUUAUGUUGGUGUAUUUUUGUUGUGCUUUUGCGAGGAGACUGAGGCAUAGAUGGUGACAUUAAGUGCUGCAGUCUGGUGGGCUUUCUCCCACUGACUUUAGGUUUGACCAUUUCGGAUAGAUUUAUUAUAUAUCUCCACAAGUAUGCCCCCCAAUUUGAGUAUUUUACCAGGAGUCCAUGUCCGGUUCUAUUCGGGGAGCAGAACUAAGCUAAUGCAGCACAGCAUUCCCUUAAAGUAUGACCGCUUGGAUCAUCAUGCACCUGGUGGUUCAGGUAUAUGCAGUUUUGGGUUUAUAAGCAUUUUCCUAUUCCUUCCUGUCAAACUGCUGUUUCAGGGUCAAGGACAUCUGCCCCCUGGUGGCCGUGGUUGCCUCUGUUAUACAGGGCUGAAGGGGAGCGCAUGCCUGUCCUGUUUGUGGAGAGGGUCAUUACUUCCUCAUCUGCAUUGAACACUUUCAGCUACAUCUCUGUGUGUACUUUUGUCAUCUAUGUACUGCUGGUGUAGGAAGUGAGAAUGUGUGCACAGUCAGACCAAACAGCUAGAGAGAGCUAGUGUGUGUGUGUCUGUCUAGUCAGAGUUGAUGUGUCUCAAUUGUCUUUCUCGUUCUUUGUUUUGAUUUGUGUCAUGUGAUGUUGUGAGUGUGGGCGUCGUCCUCAUAUGAUGCACUUUAUCCAAUCCUCAGCCCACUCUGUCGCAUUGUGACCAUUGUUGACAUGCUGAUUCAAACAUAUACACACACACACAUACACCUUUGCAGGGUUUUUUGUUUGUCUGUUUUUGUCCCAUCCGACAGAUUUGCUUAAGGCUGUAUCAGGCUGUACAGGCAGUGAUGCACCUGCUGUUUAAAGUUCCCCUUCUUUCCCCUCUUUAUUUCAACCCAAAUAUCCACACGUUAGGACACCUAAGGAGAGUCAUGGUGAUUCCCUCACGCAGUAACUUCAAUCCAAACAGAAACCUUUUCGUUCUUUUUUUUUUUUUUUUUUUCUUCUUGUUCCACAUCGCAGGUGAUUUCUAUGCAAUGUUUUCAUUUUCGUUGUCUGUGUGUUUUUCGUGAGUCAUAAGGAUAAACAGAAGCAGAAGGGAGAGAGAGAAACGUACUUGUGACCAGUGAGACGUGCAAGCUUCUCAGGCCCCACUUUGGAAAGGUAAAGAUCCACACGUGCUGCCUCCGGGUUGAAGAGGGGGGUUCCUAGGACAGGGUUGUGUUUCAGUCGGAUGGAUAAUCAGGACCGGUUUGCUUAGGCCACUUUCCUUUUGAAGAUGCAUUGGCUAGCCUUGCUGUGGGAGGUUCUGGUUCUGAUGAACUCACAGGAGGCAUGGUCCUGGUCUGUGUGUCGCCACAUUGUUGCGGUAGAGUCUUGCUGCAUGGGUCCAUGUUUAAAAAAAAAAAAAAAGUUUAAAAAAAUAAACUAAAAAGUCCAAUCCUAAGACUGUAACAGAGCAACUCUAAGAUGUGAAACACUGUACUAUUGAUGUUGUAAAUGGGACAUAAAAAGAAAAGAAUAUUUUAAAUCUGUGUAAAUAAACAAAUGUACAAAAGAGUGUGAGGCAAUAUAAAGAUCAGUCUGCAAUGCAGAGAGAAAUUAAUAUGUAUAUUGGUGAAUAAAUCUUGUGCUGUAAAGAA
ensembl:lncRNA